AGGACCUGGGAACUUCAAGCCCUCUCUCCUCAACUGGAAAACCCAUUGGUCCUUCUCUGUGUCCGAGAUGACCUCUGGUCAGAAAAGCAGUUCUUCUGGAAAUAUGCCUAGAAGUGGAAUAGCUGGAUCAAAUGGGACUUCAAAUCCCAGCUUUUUUGAGGAACCUCCAGACUGACUUCCACAGUGGUUGCAACAGUCCACACUCCUACCAACAGUCCAGGAGAGUUCCUUUUUCUCCACAGCCUCUCCAGCAUUUGUUAUUGGUGGUUUUCUUGAUCUUGGCCAUUCUUUCUGGAGUGAGAUGGAAUUUCAGUGUGGUUGUAAUUUGCAUUUCUCUAAUGAUCCGUGAUACUGAACAUUUUUUAAUGUAUUUAUUUGCAAUUUGUAUUUCUGUAUUCAUCUCACACGUCCAUUUUUGGAUUGGA